AUUCUGGCUCAGGAUGAACGCUGGCGGCGUGCUUAACACAUGCAAGUCGAACGGGAUCCCAGGAGCUUGCUCCUGGGUGAGAGUGGCGAACGGGUGAGUAAUGCGUGACCGACCUGCCCCAUACACCGGAAUAGCUCCUGGAAACGGGUGGUAAUGCCGGAUGCUCCAGUUGACCGCAUGGUCCUCUGGGAAAGCUUUUGCGGUAUGGGAUGGGGUCGCGUCCUAUCAGCUUGAUGGCGGGGUGUAAACCGCUUUUGACUGGGAGCAAGCCCUUCGGGGUGAGUGUACCUUUCGAAUAAGCACCGGCUAACUACGUGCCAGCAGCCGCGGUAAUACGUAGGGUGCAAGCGUUAUCCGGAAUUAUUGGGCGUAAAGGGCUCGUAGGCGGUUCGUCGCGUCCGGUGUGAAAGUCCAUCGCUUAACGGUGGAUCCGCGCCGGGUACGGGCGGGCUUGAGUGCGGUAGGGGAGACUGGAAUUCCCGGUGUAACGGUGGAAUGUGUAGAUAUCGGGAAGAACACCAAUGGCGAAGGCAGGUCUCUGGGCCGUCACUGACGCUGAGGAGCGAAAGCGUGGGGAGCGAACAGGAUUAGAUACCCUGGUAGUCCACGCCGUAAACGGUGGAUGCUGGAUGUGGGGACCAUUCCACGGUCUCCGUGUCGGAGCCAACGCGUUAAGCAUCCCGCCUGGGGAGUACGGCCGCAAGGCUAAAACUCAAAGAAAUUGACGGGGGCCCGCACAAGCGGCGGAGCAUGCGGAUUAAUUCGAUGCAACGCGAAGAACCUUACCUGGGCUUGACAUGUUCCCGACGGUCGUAGAGAUACGGCUUCCCUUCGGGGCGGGUUCACAGGUGGUGCAUGGUCGUCGUCAGCUCGUGUCGUGAGAUGUUGGGUUAAGUCCCGCAACGAGCGCAACCCUCAUAAAUAGUUGCCAAUAUUAAGUUAGGAACUCUAUUUAGACUGCCGUGGAUAACACGGAGGAAGGUGGGGAUGACGUCAAAUCAUCAUGCCUCUUACGUCUUGGGCUACACACGUGCUACAAUGGCUAUUACAAAGAGCUGCAAACCCGUAAGGGCGAGCGAAUCUCAAAAAGAUAGUCUCAGUUCGGACUGUGGGCUGCAACCCGCCCACACGAAGUCGGAGUUGCUAGUAAUCCCGAAUCAGAAUGUCGGGGUGAAUGCGUUCCCGGGUCUUGUACACACUGCCCGUCACGCCAUGGGAGUUGAUAGUACCCAAAGUCGGUGAGCUAACCGCAAGGAGGCAGCCGCCUAAGGUAAGAUCAGUAACUGGGGUGAAGUCGUAACAAGGUAGCCGUAUCGGAAGGUGCGGCUG
rnacentral:rRNA from 1 species